rnacentral:rRNA from 1 species
CCUACGGGAGGCAGCAGUGGGGGAUAUUGCACAAUGGGGGAAACCCUGAUGCAGCGACGCCGCGUGAGUGAAGAAGUAUUUCGGUAUGUAAACCUCUAUCAGCAGGGAAGAAAGUGACCGUACCUGACCAGCAAUCCCCGGCUAACUACGUGUCAGCAGCCGCGGUAAUACGUAGGGGGCAAGCGUUAUCCGGAUUUACUGGGUGUAAAGGGAGCGUAGACGGUUAGGUAAGUCUGGAGUGAAAGCCCGGGGCCCAACCCCGGGACUGCGUUGGACACUGGGUAACUGGAGUACAGGAGGGGAUGGCGGAAUUCCAGGUGUAGGGGUGAAAUGCGUAGAGAUCAGGAGGAACACCAGCGGCGAAGGCGACCAGCUGGAAUGAAACUGACGUUGAGGCGCGAAAGCGUGGGGAGCAAACAGGAUUAGAUACCCUAGUAGUC